CGGAAGAUUUCGAAGGCCACCCACCCAGAGAAGCAUCUCCCAGCUAAGUAAGGCAUCCAGGGCUAACCGAUGACUGGAGACUGGCCCUAGCGAGGCCCAGACCCCGACAUCCCACCUGCCUACCUACCUGUUCCUCAAGGGAGGCCAGCCUCUGCUCUGUGGAGCCUGAUCUCUUCACACGGUCCAUGUCCAACAGAUCCACCAUGGUGUCCACUCUGAAAGAGGACAAAUGGACAAGCUUCUGGGAGCCUGCCAGCUAUAGAAAAAAACACGACACCCUGAUUCCAGACGACCUCGCCAAACCCAGCAGCCUGGGCGUGGCUCUCAAUACAGUCUCUUGUCAUUUGAAAGUACCUAUGACACACAUCUGCAUCACGAAAUAAAACCAUAAAACCGUCCCAGCACUCGGACAACCCAGGCUCAUGUGGCCUGGCUCAAUGUGACGUCAGAGGUGUCAGCUAGGGGGAGGGGGAUGGGCAUUCACAGCAGCCCACUUGUCUGGGUUUGUCUCAUGGUGCUGGCCCAUGAGCUGUGAAAGCUACCUCAGAUGACAAGGCUUGUGGGGACAGCUGGGCUGGAGCGGGCGAUGCACGGGCUGCUGGGGAAAUGUCUAGUUUGAACCAGAAGCCCCACUCCCCUCCAUGGCCAGCUGUGUUUAUAGUUAAACCAAGGGCAGGCCAAUGCCUGCCUGCAUGCACGCCUGCCUACCUGCCUGCAUCUAUCUCUGCCUGCCGGCACCCAUGCCUGCAUGCACGUGUGUAUGCUCGCCUGCCUACCUAGUUUUGCCCAGGGAUUCCUUCACUUCCUCCCACCUGCAGUGCCAACUGCUAGCAAUAUCCCUUUGUAAUAAAGUAAGCCUCUCAGU
rnacentral:lncRNA from 1 species